rnacentral:rRNA from 1 species
GUGAGGAAUUUUGCGCAAUGGACGAAAGUCUGACGCAGCGACGCCGCGUGGGCGACGAAGCUCUUUGGAGUGUAAAGCCCUGUCAGGUGGGACGAAUCCGGAGGGAGUGAACAACUCGCCUUCGCUGACGGUACCACCAGAGGAAGCCCCGGCUAACUCCGUGCCAGCAGCCGCGGUAAUACGGAGGGGGCGAGCGUUGUUCGGAAUCACUGGGUGUAAAGGGUGCGUAGGCGGUCCGAUAAGUCUGAUGUGAAAGCCCUGGGCUCAACUCAGGAACUGCAUUGGAAACUGACGGACUGGAGUACCGGAGAGGGAAGCGGAAUUCCUGGUGUAGCGGUGAAAUGCGUAGAUACCAGGAGGAACACCGGUGGCGAAGGCGGUUUCCUGGCCGAGUACUGACGCUGAGGCACGAAAGCGUGGGGAGCGAACGGGAUUAGAUACCCGUGUAGUCC